rnacentral:tRNA from 1 species
GCCUGGGUGGCUCAGUCGGUUAAGCGUCCGACUUUGGCUCAGGUCAUGAUCUCACAGCUCGUGGGUUCGAGCCCCGCGUCGGGCU